CAGUCGCCGCGGUAAUACGGAGGGGGCUAGCGUUGUUCGGAUUUACUGGGCGUAAAGCGCACGUAGGCGGAUCGAUCAGUCAGGGGUGAAAUCCCAGAGCUCAACUCUGGAACUGCCUCUGAUACUGUCGAUCUGGAGUAUGGAAGAGGUGAGUGGAAUUCCGAGUGUAGAGGUGAAAUUCGUAGAUAUUCGGAGGAACACCAGUGGCGAAGGCGGCUCACUGGUCCAUUACUGACGCUGAGGUGCGAAAGCGUGGGGAGCAAACAGGAUUAGAUACCCCAGUAGUCCCUGUCUCUUAUAC
rnacentral:rRNA from 1 species